AGGUUCGAUCGCAAAGGCCCAACGUAGGUUUCCCUACGCUGAACCUCGGCUCGAUGCACCA
rnacentral:pre_miRNA from 1 species